AGAGUUUGAUCAUGGCUCAGAUUGAACGCUGGCGGCAGGCCUAACACAUGCAAGUCGAGCGGAAGAAGGGGGCUUGCUCCCGGAUUCAGCGGCGGACGGGUGAGUAACGCGUAGGAAUCUACCUAAUAGUGGGGGAUAACGUUUCGAAAGGAACGCUAAUACCGCAUACGUUCUGAGGAAGAAAGCAGGGGAUCGCAAGACCUUGCGCUAUUAGAUGAGCCUGCGUCCGAUUAGCUAGUUGGUGGGGUAAAGGCCUACCAAGGCGACGAUCGGUAACUGGUCUGAGAGGAUGAUCAGUCACACUGGAACUGAGACACGGUCCAGACUCCUACGGGAGGCAGCAGUGGGGAAUAUUGGACAAUGGGGGCAACCCUGAUCCAGCCAUGCCGCGUGUGUGAAGAAGGCCUUCGGGUUGUAAAGCACUUUAAGCGGGGAGGAAGGCUCUAUGGCUAAUAUCCAUGGGGAUUGACGUACCCGCAGAAU
rnacentral:rRNA from 1 species